UACGUAGGGGGCAAGCGUUGUCCGGAAUUAUUGGGCGUAAAGAGUGCGUAGGCGGUCUGAUAAGUCGGUUGUGAAAGUCGGGGGCUCAACCCUCGGAUGCCGAUCGAUACUGUCAGGCUAGAGUCCGGAAGAGGCGAGUGGAAUUCCUGGUGUAGCGGUGAAAUGCGCAGAUAUCAGGAGGAACACCAAUGGCGAAGGCAGCUCGCUGGGACGGUACUGACGGUGAGGCGCGAAAGCGGGGGGAGCAAACAGG
rnacentral:rRNA from 1 species